rnacentral:rRNA from 1 species
AUUGAACGCUGGCGGCAGGCCUAACACAUGCAAGUCGAGCGGAUGAAGGGAGCUUGCUCCUGGAUUCAGCGGCGGACGGGUGAGUAAUGCCUAGGAAUCUGCCUGGUAGUGGGGGAUAACGUCCGGAAACGGGCGCUAAUACCGCAUACGUCCUGAGGGAGAAAGUGGGGGAUCUUCGGACCUCACGCUAUCAGAUGAGCCUAGGUCGGAUUAGCUGGUUGGUGGGGUAAAGGCCUACCAAGGCGACGAUCCGUAACUGGUCUGAGAGGAUGAUCAGUCACACUGGAACUGAGACACGGUCCAGACUCCUACGGGAGGCAGCAGUGGGGAAUAUUGGACAAUGGGCGAAAGCCUGAUCCAGUCAUGCCGCGUGUGUGAAGAAGGUCUUCGGAUUGUAAAGCACUUUAAGUUGGGAGGAAGGGCAGUAAGUUAAUACCUUGCUGUUUUGACGUUACCAACAGAAUAAGCACCGGCUAACUUCGUG